rnacentral:tRNA from 1 species
GUGCAGGUUGGUGUAAGGGCAGCAUGCCGCGCUGUGAACGCGGCGGUGCGGUUCGAAUCCGCGCCUGCACC